UGUGAAUUCGGGUCCAGAUAUUUGAUUCGAAACUUCAUCGGAUCCAGGAAGAGAAAGGGUCAGGGAAGUCGGCGGAUCUGCAGUAGUAGUGGUAGUAGUCGAAGAGGUGGCAUCGAGUGGAAGAGAAGCCGGCGGGACAACAAGGGAGCCGGUUCUUGCCAAAGGGCGGUAAACCGGAGAAGAAGCCAUAUCGGGUAAACUUGAAUCGCUGAGAUCAGAUCCGGAUGGGCUACCCGGAAGACCACCCGCACCAAGGCUCGCGGAUCUUUUAAGAGGCUGUGGGUUAUGGGCCACGUCGUCGUUUAGGUCGUAACAUUUUCGCUUGAGGGUCGAGUUCCAAUGGUUUUUAAUAGCGUUAUCGGUACGGCCAUUGAGAAGACGAGCGAUGGUGGCCCACUUAUUACCGAAGCGAGAAUGAGCUCU
rnacentral:lncRNA from 1 species